CUCGCGGGGAGCCCUGCGCCCGGCCGUAGCGGCGGUCUCUCUCCCCGCCCGUUGGGAGCGCGAGGGAAGCGGGAGCGCGGGAACCGGCCCGUCUCUCAAGCACAGGUUUCACACGCAGCCUAACCUCAAGCACAAAAGCUUGGAUGUGCACUCUACACAGACAUACACGACCUGUGCUCAGCUGCAGGUGAGCAGCUUCACGUCAGUCCCUUCAGAAGGUCAGAUCAGCAGCAGUGGUUAAAAGCAAGAAUGGGAUUAGGCUUUCCAGUCAGGCCACUGAAGUCCAGUCUCAUUCUACACGCAUUCGCUGAGAGCUACCAUGGAAUUCAGAGUCCCCAUGGCAUGCUUCUCCACUUUGAUAUUCCAGAAUCAUCUCAUUCCAUACCCAUUCCUCCAAAAGACUGCUUUUCUGCUGUUUUCUUCUUUGCCAGCUGCUGUCAUUUCAAGGUGUAAAUUGGAUGAUAGAUGUGCGAUAACACUUUCCCCUGUCAUGCAGACAAGUGAUUUGGGACAGCUUGGGUGGCAGUGCUGGCAAGCUUGAACUGAGCAUUCACCUUCUGAGAGAGAAGGAAAUGCAUGGGAGGGAACAAUUUAACAUGUACUGAAAUAAUUAAACAACAUUUCAAAAUUACAGCUCCUCAGGUCUUACCAAGCCUUGCUAUAAACAGUGCUUCUUCUUAAAAGCUGCUGUGGACAUUACAGUAUGAAUUCUACUCUCUACUAUGUUAGUCAUGUAUUGUAGUUAGAACCAAAACGUGCUGUGUAAUCGAAUGCUAAAAGACAAAUCCACAUGGUCUUGAACUUCACUGAAUCAUUAAGAUUGGAAAAAACCGCUAAGGUCACCUCGCCCAACCACUAGCUCAUCCCACCAUGCCCACUAACCACAUCCCUCAGUGCCACAUCUGCGUGUUUCCUGAGCACCUCCAGGGAUGGUGAUUCCACCACCUCCUCGGGCAGAAGUCAUCAACUUAUUGAGGAUUUGUGGAGCUGAUUUACAAUUUAUAAUGUGAGGAGAGAAAAAGUAGUGAAUGAGCUAGCAAUGCUAUGCAAGAGUAAGCAACAAGAUAAAGAGAAAACACUACUAAAUGUAGUAUGUAUUUAUACACACUAUAAUACCUAUUCAGUGGGCAAAAUUGAGCAGGAUUUGAUUCAGUGUAGGUAGGAGCCACCCAGUAUUAUAUGCAGUACCAAACUGGUGAUGCUGUGAAUGGCUUUUCCGAACCUUUUACUACUUUUAAAUCAAUAAAACACCUACAGUCAUGCACAAGUUAGGAAAUAAUGUGUUUUUUAAAAUGGCAGAACUCUGUAAGAGGGAACAGUUCGUAUUUAUUGCAGAGUACAGUGACUUAUUGUCCUAUUAGCUGCACCCUUUUUUUUCCCUGCUUGUCUGCUACUCAGCAAUUAAAUACAGCCAUCAGGAUGUAUCAGUACUAUAUUGUUGACACUGUGACUCCAUAUCAGAGGAAAAUGUCAUUGAAAUUCUACUUUCAUUUCCCAUUAUUACUUAGUAAAACUUUAUCCAAGAUAGAUAAAUACUACUCAUAUCCAAAAUAUUACUCCCAUCAUGUAAAGGACUAGUGAUUUCCAAACAACUCUAGGAACUCAGAGUCCCAGCCCACUCCUUAAGCAAGUAUUCUUUUAACUGAAUCUUUCUGCAGCUGAUAUAUGUCCCCGCUCCUUAACAUUUUUAUCCUUAUUACUGAAGGUGUACACCUGAGCUAUUAAUCUGGUGUUCCCUCCCCAAGGGAGGUUGGAUGUUAGACAGAAAUACAAUAUAUAUAUAAUAAAAGUCCCACGUAAUAUAUGGAAACACCUAGACGGCAAAAUUAUUUUCUCUUGUUGGGGUCAAAUCUGACAUCCACAUGAAUAUAAUGCUAUUGUAUAGCCGAAGUGGCUUCAGCUAGAUCAGCAGGACCAACUUAAGGUUAAUAUGCCAUUCUGACUAGACGAGGGUGCAACUCUGAAUAUUAUCUAUUUAAUAUGCAAAAUUUUGAAGAGGCAACAAAAAAAUAUUACCAUAGUUAAAAACUUCUGAGUCUUUCCCCGGUAAUCUUGCUUGCAUUCACUUUUUAAAGUGUCUAUCUGUAUUUAUAUUUAAAUAAACUCAGAAAACCAAGAAAGACUGCUUGAGAUGGCAGAAAAAUAUCCAAAUGCAAAACCAAAUAAAUCAGCCCAACCACCUUCAACAGCCUCACAGUUUCUCAAGUAGAGAGGGAAUGCGCUUCAGCAGUUACAGUCAGAUGACUUUAAGACAAGUUGCAACAUAUUUUUCAUGUAAAUACCUGAAUAGUUCUUAGAUUCCUGCCACUUACAGGCAAAACCAAACAAGUAUCAGGAUUUCAGACACGACUUCUUACCGAGAGCAUCUAGAAAGCUCUGAAAACUGAUGUAGUUGCCUGCUGUAGUCACAAAAGGACAUACAGAGUCAGUGCCUUGGUUUCUGGGAGGUAUGCUGCUUUAUAUAAAGCUGAUUUUAAUCUGCUACUUCAACAUUGUUGAAUAUAAACUCUUCAGCAUUCUUCUUUGUCAAACAGUGGAAAAUAAAAGUCCCUUUCAUUUGAAAUUGAAAAUAGACCUAAUGAUUGUUUUGCUAUCUAUUGUUAGAUGAGAAGUGCAGAAAAAAACACCUUUUCUUUUUAGGGCAUCUCAUCGUUUCUUUGUAGUGUGUGAGCACUGCCUUUGUCUCUUCCCAAUUCAGAUAGAAAACUGAAAUGCAAAACACAAGAAUGCCAUUUCAAAAACAAUAGCAUCUCCUUCCUCAUUUUCCUUCUUCAGCAGGAAACUGCAAAAGGACUGUAGGAGGUGUCAAAGACAGAAAAUGCAGAACAGUAGAUCUUUUCAAUAUCCUGUAUUUUAAGAAGUGCCUGAGGCACAAAUCCUAAAGUCAAUAUGUGCUCUGUAUGGGCUUGGUAUCUUGCACCACAUUCUGCUAUGUCAAGUAAUUUAUACCAGAAAUAAUGGACUACAAAACAAAGAUAAAGGAAAGACUAGUUACCAGUCUUACAAGUUUUUGUAUUUUUCUGUCAUUUCUACUUGGUCCUUUUCAUUUCACUUACCACAGCGUGUGUUUGAGACUGAAAGGAGAGCCAAGUAACCAGGGAAUAAGAAAAAAGGGAAAGUGAUAGCAACAGCUCUCUACCCUGGCUAUCCCCUGAAAACCCACCAAAAGAAAUAGAAAAGCAGCCAUGAAGGUUCAGGGGAGGAAGCGAAAGACUAUAGAGUACAAAAGAAAACUUAAUGGAUUCGUGCUGAAGGAAGGCUGUUGCUUUCAUGAACCAGAGCAUGACAUUCAUACUGUGUUUAAAGUUGCUUAUCUGGGAAGUGUGUCAGCCCCAAGAAAAAUCUGAUAAUUCUCACCCUUUAGAUAAACUUCUAUUUUUGUAGUUUUGAAGGUGGCUUUCAAAAUUGUCAUUUUUUCAUGUAGAAAAUGCAUCACUUGUCUUGGACAGUACAGCCUUCUUGGCAGGGUAAUUUCUGAAGAGUAUGGAAGGCUUGGACACUGAUUUGACAGGCAGUUUUUAUUGUAUAGGGUUAAUGGCAGCUGUUUGAAGCUGCUCAUAUAUCUGAAAUAUUAGAAUCUUACUGCAUUUCCAGCUUUUUUUUUUUAAGACUUCAUUAAAAACAUCUGUUAACAGUGUAAGUUUGCAGUGAGAGGAAGAACAGUAAGAACUAUAGGCAGACAAUUCACAUAGGUGCUGUGCAAGUCCCUCCUAGCAUUUAUUUGUACACAGUGACAUCUGUAUUAAUUGUAUCCAAACAUCAGGGCUGGUGUAAGCACUACUGUGGGCCUCAAAGCAGUACUACAUCUCUGUAUGAAACUAUAUAGCAUUGGAAAAUGGGUUAUUUCUUUAGUAGAGUAUUUUAUUGUGGUGAUAAAUUAGAAACAAUGAGAUUAUUUGAUUAAACUUUCUCAGUCACUGCUGAAUGGACUACCUUGCUUGUAGAAUUAAUAAAAAGGCCAAGAUACCUCAUUAACAUGCUUGGUAGUAAGCUGGACUGGCAAAAGUACAAUUUAAUCCUGCCAAAGGGUAUUUGCCGAGGAAAGUCAAAAAGCUUUUAAAUCAUUCUUAAAGGUUGAGACAAGAGAAGAUGACCUUGCAAAAGCUGUAGUCCUGAACUGUCCAGAAGAAUUUCCCCCUUUCCCACAUAUCCUAGAGCUGCUUACUGAACAGAACCGUGUUAAAUAAUAUGGCUGUUUUAAAUGCAUCAAGCUUGAUUUUGCUGUGCAUGUUGAUGGGGAAGCCAGAUACAAAAGCUUAGGCUGGAAAAAGCUACAUGUGCUAGAAUUCUCCAUGGUUUUUAGUAGCUGAAAGUAUACUGUCAUCAUAUACUGUCAUCACUUAGUUUAAAGUUAAGUCACCUGGUCUAAAGGCAAAUUUUCGUAUACAGUACCUGACAGACUCACCACAUCACUUUCACCAAGGCCUCACACUUUGUAUUAAAAUUUACAAAUCAGAAGGACAUGGAGAAAGUGGAUGAAAUGCGCCAGCAGCUGUUCACAAUCAUGCCUACCAAACCAUCACAAAGAUCAAAAUGAAUGUUAUCAUUGCUGUUUAAGAUCAUUCAUGUAUGGUAAAUACAGCUACAGAAAGUUAACAAGUAAACUGCUUCAUAAUUCUCAUGCAGAACAGCCUAUGAAAUUGUUCCCAAACUUGAACUCUUCAAAACACUGUUUAGGUUACUCACUGUGGGUAUUUAUUCUGUAUUGUACAUCCUAAAUAAUGAAAAUAUGCUUUACAACUGAUUUUCUACAUGAAAACAGUCUUUUUAACAGUAGAAAAAAGCAGCAGCAUUUCUCAAUGGAAGUGCUAUUCAAACAAGUUUUAAGUCAUUAAAAUUUAAAGCAGUGCUAUCUACCAGCCUGGAUUGAUGAAUUAUUUCAUACUGGAGAAAUUCCACUGGCUUAAUGGAGUUGCCUCCAAUGUACAGCUACAUAGGUAGCCACUUAUUUUGAAGAGCAGCAUGAUAUUUGUGAUCACAAUCAUAUUUUCAAUAGAAGUGUGGCUGCAACAGAUGUUUUUACUGUAAGAGUCUUAAUUUCCAACUUUGCUUAAGCGAAGCACAACUUCUCAAAGAUCUGUAGGUCCUUGCGUUCCAUUGUUGGUGAGGUUUCUUCUAAAGCAUAUUUUAAAUUCCUGUCUCUAGGCUACCGUGAUUGGUUUUGAGCUCUAAGUUUUCCAUGUAUGCAAGCUUUCCUUUGUUGGCCUGUGCAACUUUUCUAUUCAAGCGAAAAUAGGGGAAUCUGAGGAAUUCCCUCCAAGCAUCAAGUCACAUCAACAACAUCAAAAACAAACUAUAAACAAUAGUGAAGUUGAAGAGGAGAUUACAUCACGCUAGGAUAUCGUCAGUAGAAAAGAGACACUUCCCUUGACUAACUUGAAAUACAAAUACCGUCCUUGGAAAAGUAAUCCAGAGAAAACUACAAAAAGAACUCAUGAUUCAAUGACACUUUUUUUUUUUUUUAGAACCUGUAAUAAAAAAAAAAGCAAGGAGGUUAAAAAAAAAUCGCAUUAGGGAAGUUCGUAAUAUCAGCCAGAAAUGCCAAUUUUAACUGUAUCAAAUAAAUGAGGAAAGAAAAAUUAGAAUAACACAUUUAUUAUUUUCCCCAGUACAUAGCAUAUAGAUGGAUCAGUUGUGAUUUCACACAUUUAGAAGUUGAAAAACUGUAGUAUUUUAUGCUUUACUAUGCAGUUGAAAGCCAAUUUGUGCCCUUGGUAGCUCACAUGGGAUUUUUAUAUUACUUCCAAUGUAUUCUUUGUAUGCAGGGAAAAGGAAUUGAAGUAGCACCUAUAAAACACAGUUUUAUUAUUACAGCCUGAACACUGAGCUUCAUAUUGCAUCUUGCCAUCCUCCAGCAUUCAUGAGUUUAUACCAAUUAUGUUUUAAUUGUAGUCAUGGCUGAUAGCUAAUGUCUUGUGACCUUAAAUACAGUGUUUCCAGACAGGCAUGAACAGUUGGCCCAGGAGAACCUCAUGAGGUUCAACAAAUCCAAGUACAAGGUCCUGUUCCAGGGUUGAGGCAACCCCCACAACAAAUACAAGCUAAAGGAUGAAAGCACUGAGCACAGCUCUGCUGAAAAGAACUUACAGGUACUGGUGGAUUGGAAGCUGAACAUGAGCCAGUAAUGUGCCCUCACAACCCAGAAAGCAACCAUAUCCAGAAGCAGCGUGGCUAGCAGGAUGAGGAAUGUGAUCCUGCCCCUCUACUCUGCACUGGUGACACCUCACCUGGAGUAGUGCAUCCAAAUGUGGAUUACCUCAGUACAGGAGAGACAUAAACCUGUUGGAGCACAUCCAGAGGAGGGCAACAAACAUCAUCCAAGGGGUGGAGCACCUCUCCUACAAGGACAGUCUGAUGAGAGAGCUGGGGCUGUUCAGACUAGAAAAGAGAAGACUCCAAGGUUAUUGAGGGCUGUGAUGUGUGCUCACAGCCAGUGCUCUGCAUGGGACCUCCUUUGCUCAGAUCAGAUGGAGAAUGCUCAAGGAGCCAAUUGAGGCUGCGGGAGGAAAAGGACUGGAAACAUCUCCUGCACCUGCUGGGGAAAAUGGGAAGUGCAAAGCAGGAUGGCCCUGCUCCAACCUCCGCUGGCCACAGUGGGCUUUAAGCCACACGAAACAGCACACAUGGGGAGUGAGGUGGGUUUGUGGAACCCAUGAGUCAAACCAGCAUAUACCAAAAGACUGAUUUUACUUUAAGCUUUCACCUGAAUCGGAAAGAAAAGAUCUUGACUUCCUAUGUCGCUUUUUCAAUUGCUGCUUUCUCAAAAGCCUGUUUGAGACUCUACAUUGUCUACACUCCUGAAUGAAGUCCUUGCCUUUCCAACACCAGCGUGUCUUUUAAACCAAUAGGAGGUAAUGUUCUUAUUUUAAGGACAGGAAAACAGAGGGAGACAUGAAAGCUGACUAAAAACCUCGUUAAACAGACAGAUUGGAGCUCGCAGUUCCUUUUUUAUCUUUGUUUCUUUGGACCCAAAGACUGAAUGUAAGCACUGCCAUUUUUAAUUCAAAGUUUGUACAACCCAAAGAAUUAACAGCUAAAAUUAACAGCUGAAAUACUGAAGAUCACCCGGUGACAUUACUGGCAAUUUUAUUUUUAUAAC
rnacentral:lncRNA from 1 species